rnacentral:rRNA from 1 species
UUUGACAUCCAGGGAAUUUAGCAGAGAUGCUUUAGUGCCUUCGGGAACUCUGAGACAGGUGCUGCAUGGCUGUCGUCAGCUCGUGUUGUGAAAUGUUGGGUUAAGUCCCGNAACGAGCGCAACCCUUAUCCUUUGUUGCCAGCACGUAAUGGUGGGAACUCAAAGGAGACUGCCGGUGAUAAACCGGAGGAAGGUGGGGAUGACGUCAAGUCAUCAUGGCCCUUACGAGUAGGGCUACACACGUGCUACAAUGGCGCAUACAAAGAGAAGCGACCUCGCGAGAGCAAGCGGACCUCAUAAAGUGCGUCGUAGUCCGGAUUGGAGUCUGCAACUCGACUCCAUGAAGUCGGAAUCGCUAGUAAUCGUAAAUCAGAAUGUUACGGUGAAUACGUUCCCGGGCCUUGUACACACCGCCCGUCACACCAUGGGAGUGGGUUGCAAAAGAAGUAGAUAGCUUAACCUUCGGGAGGGCGUUUACCACUUUGUGAUUCAUGACUGGGGUGAAGUCGUAACAAGGUAAGCGUAGUGCU